AGGAUGAACGCUGGCGGUAUGCUUAACACAUGCAAGUCGAACGGAGUGCUUCGGCACUUAGUGGCGGACGGGUGAGUAACGCGUGAGGAUCUGCCUACAGGUCUGGGACAACAGAGGGAAACUUCUGCUAAUACCGGAUGUGCCGAGAGGUGAAAGCUUUAGUGCCUGUAGAUGAGCUUGCGUCUGAUUAGCUAGUUGGUUAGGUAACGGCUGACCAAGGCGACGAUCAGUAGCUGGUCUGAGAGGAUGAUCAGCCACACUGGGACUGAGACACGGCCCAGACUCCUACGGGAGGCAGCAGUGGGGAAUUUUCCGCAAUGGGGGCAACCCUGACGGAGCAAUACCGCGUGAGGGACGAAGGUUUUUGGAUUGUAAACCUCUUUUCUCAGGGAAGAACACAAUGACGGUACCUGAGGAAUAAGCAUCGGCUAACUCCGUGCCAGCAGCCGCGGUAAUACGGAGGAUGCAAGCGUUAUCCGGAAUUAUUGGGCGUAAAGCGUCCGCAGGUGGUUAUUCAAGUCUGCUGUUAAAGCGCGAGGCUCAACUUCGUACGGGCAGUGGAAACUGAAUGACUAGAGUACGGUAGGGGUAGCGGGAAUUCCCAGUGUAGCGGUGAAAUGCGUAGAUAUUGGGAAGAACACCAGCGGCGAAAGCGCGCUACUGGGCCGAAACUGACACUGAGGGACGAAAGCUAGGGGAGCGAAAGGGAUUAGAUACCCCUGUAGUCCUAGCUGUAAACGAUGGACACUAGGUGUUGCGCGUAUCGACCCGUGCAGUGCCGUAGCCAACGCGUUAAGUGUCC
rnacentral:rRNA from 1 species